GCCUGGGUAGCUCAGUUGGUUGGGCUUCCGACUUCAACUUAGGUCAUGAUCUCACGGUUCGUGGGUUCAGGCCCCACAUCAGGCU
rnacentral:tRNA from 1 species